rnacentral:rRNA from 1 species
AGUAACACGUGGGUAACCUGCCUGUAAGACUGGGAUAACUCCGGGAAACCGGAGCUAAUACCGGAUAGUUCCUUGAACCGCAUGGUUCAAGGAUGAAAGACGGUUUCGGCUGUCACUUACAGAUGGACCCGCGGCGCAUUAGCUAGUUGGUGAGGUAACGGCUCACCAAGGCGACGAUGCGUAGCCGACCUGAGAGGGUGAUCGGCCACACUGGGACUGAGACACGGCCCAGACUCCUACGGGAGGCAGCAGUAGGGAAUCUUCCGCAAUGGACGAAAGUCUGACGGAGCAACGCCGCGUGAGUGAUGAAGGUUUUCGGAUCGUAAAGCUCUGUUGUUAGGGAAGAACAAGUGCAAGAGUAACUGCUUGCACCUUGACGGUACCUAACCA